rfam:Acidimicrobium sp. BACL27 MAG-120823-bin42 contig00106_1_120823-bin42, whole genome shotgun sequence.
AUUUCUGAUGCGAAAUUCCCCGACGCGCAAUCAGGUUCAGAAAAGGGCAUUAACCACGCACUUGUGGGUAACGCUGGAAUGAACCUCAUUUACGAAUCAG